rnacentral:rRNA from 1 species
UACGUAGGGGGCAAGCGUUGUCCGGAUUUACUGGGCGUAAAGAGCGUGUAGGCGGCCAGAUAAGUCCGCUGUGAAAUCUCGAGGCUCAACUUCGAGCUGUCGGUGGAAACUGUCUGGCUAGAGUCCGGAAGAGGAGAAUGGAAUUCCUGGUGUAGCGGUGAAAUGCGCAGAUAUCAGGAAGAACACCCGUGGCGAAGGCGGUUCUCUGGGACGGUACUGACGCUGAGACGCGAAAGCGUGGGGAGCGAACAGG